CAGUCGCCACGGUAAUACGAAGGGUGCAAGCGAUAAUCGGAAUUGCUGGGCGUAAAGCGUGCGCAGGCGGUUUGUUAAGACAGAUGUGAAAUCCCCGGGCUUAACCUGGGAACUGCAUUUGUGACUGGCAAGCUAGAGUAUGGCAGAGGGGGGUGGAAUUCCGCGUGUAGCAGUGAAAUGCGUAGAUAUGCGGAGGAACACCGAUGGCGAAGGCAGCCCCCUGGGCCGAUACUGACGCUCAUGCACGAAAGCGUGGGGAGCAAACAGGAUUAGAUACCCCCGUAGUCCCUGUCUCUUAUAC
rnacentral:rRNA from 1 species